rnacentral:rRNA from 1 species
GGACUACUGGGGUAUCUAAUCCUGUUUGCUCCCCACGCUUUCGUGCCUCAGUGUCAGUUACAGUCCAGAAAGCCGCCUUCGCCACCGGUGUUCUUCCUAAUAUCUACGCAUUUCACCGCUACACUAGGAGUUCCACUUUCCCCUCCUGCACUCAAGCCAUCCAGUUCGAAGGGCUUACAAUGGUUAAGCCACUGCCUUUCACCCCUCGCUUAGAAAGCCACCUACGCACUCUUUACGCCCAAUAAUUCCGGAUAACGCUUGCCCCCUACGUAUUACCGCGGCGGCUGGCAC